GAUGAACGCUGGCGGCGUGCCUAAUACAUGCAAGUCGAGCGAAUGGAUUAAGAGCUUGCUCUUAUGAAGUUAGCGGCGGACGGGUGAGUAACACGUGGGUAACCUGCCCAUAAGACUGGGAUAACUCCGGGAAACCGGGGCUAAUACCGGAUAACAUUUUGAACCGCAUGGUUCGAAAGUGAAAGGCGGCUUCGGCUGUCACUUAUGGAUGGACCCGCGUCGCAUUAGCUAGUUGGUGAGGUAACGGCUCACCAAGGCAACGAUGCGUAGCCGACCUGAGAGGGUGAUCGGCCACACUGGGACUGAGACACGGCCCAGACUCCUACGGGGGGCAGCAGUAGGGAAUCUUCCGCAAUGGACGAAAGUCUGACGGAGCAACGCCGCGUGAGUGAUGAAGGCUUUCGGGUCGUAAAACUCUGUUGUUAGGGAAGAACAAGUGCUAGUUGAAUAAGCUGACACCUUGACGGUACCUAACCAGAAAGCCACGGCUAACUACGUGCCAGCCGCCGCGGUAA
rnacentral:rRNA from 1 species